rnacentral:lncRNA from 1 species
CUGAGGAUGGUGAAAUAAAUCAUUUGGAUUCCCAAUGAUUUUCUCUUUCUAAUAGUUUUUAUUUGAAGAGAAAGGUGAUCUUACAACUUUAUUUUUGACUCAUGCUUAUAAUAAUAAUUAAUACUAGUGAGUUUAUAGUUUGAUUGGGUUUUUUUUUGUUGAAACUGAUUUUGGCAAGUGAUGUUAAGAAGAUAUUUGCUACUCUUGAUGGGAUUACAUAUAAUCCUGUUUGAUGAUUUAUUAACCACCAAGAUCUCUGAGGCC